rnacentral:rRNA from 1 species
CCUACGGGUGGCAGCAGUGAGGAAUAUUGGUCAAUGGACGAGAGCCUGAACCAGCCAAGUAGCGUGAAGGAUGACUGCCCUAUGGGUUGUAAACUUCUUUUAUAGGGGAAUAAAACAGGGUAUGCAUACCCUCUUGUAUGUACCAUAUGAAUAAGGAUCGGCUAACUCCGUGCCAGCAGCCGCGGUAAUACGGAGGAUCCGAGCGUUAUCCGGAUUUAUUGGGUUUAACGGGAGCGUAGGUGGAUUGUUAAGUCAGUUGUGAAAGUUUGCGGCUCAACCGUAAAAUUGCAGUUGAAACUGGCAGUCUUGAGUACAGUAGAGGUCGGCGGAAUUCGUGGUGUAGCGGUGAAAUGCUUAGAUAUCACGAAGAACUCCGAUUGCGAAGGCAGUUCACUGGACUGCAACUGACACUGAUGCUCGAAAGUGUGGGUAUCAAACAGGAUUAGAUACCCUAGUAGUC